rnacentral:snoRNA from 1 species
AUCUUCUCAUUGUGCUCUUUUCUGCUAACUGGCAGCAGUUAUGGAUUCCCACGAAAAGUGAGAGAGUUCACACAACUGCUAAUACCUUACCUUCUGUUUAUACAGAGGUAUAUUGGACAGUUUGGUGAGACAUUC